rnacentral:rRNA from 1 species
CCUACGGGCGGCAGCAGUGGGGAAUAUUGCACAAUGGGCGCAAGCCUGAUGCAGCCAUGCCGCGUGUGUGAAGAAGGCCUUCGGGUUGUAAAGCACUUUCAGCGGGGAGGAAGGCGUUAAGGUUAAUAACCUUGUCGAUUGACGUUACCCGCAGAAGAAGCACCGGCUAACUCCGUGCCAGCAGCCGCGGUAAUACGGAGGGUGCAAGCGUUAAUCGGAAUUACUGGGCGUAAAGCGCACGCAGGCGGUCUGUCAAGUCGGAUGUAAAAUCCCCGGGCUCAACCUGGGAACUGCAUUCGAAACUGGCAGGCUAGAGUCCUGUAGAGGGGGGUAGAAUUCCAGGUGUAGCGGUGAAAUGCGUAGAGAUCUGGAGGAAUACCGGUGGCGAAGGCGGCCCCCUGGACAAAGACUGACGCUCAGGUGCGAAAGCGUGGGGAGCAAACAGGAUUAGAUACCCCAGUAGUC